rnacentral:misc_RNA from 1 species
GUAGAAACUAGAUUCUCCAAAGUUUUUUUUUAUGAAGUAAGAAAAAUAACAAGAUCUCUUUUUUGAAUUCUCGAUCAAAGCUCUCGAUUACAAAGUGGUUUAAAAUUGCUUCAAGAACAAGUUAGGGUUUAUACAAGAACAAAAAGAAAACUAUGGCUUUCUGUAUGAAAUUGCGAAUCAUCUUCUCGAAUCAAGUCCUCCCUAUUUAUAUAAGGGGGUAGUCGGUAUAUGUCUUCUUUCUUUAUUUUUCGGACUUGAAUCUUCGAUUUUCCUUUUUUCUCAGAUUUGGAGAGACACUUGAUCGGUGAUAAGUGGUUGAUAUUCGCUUGUGAUAUCUUCCCUGACUUCAUCCAAUUCCAGAUCACGUCCAAGUCGGAAGGUACCUCUUUGAUCGGUUUAAACGCUUCGGCAUCGUUAAACUCUAAUACUUAUCCUGAACACUUAUGAAAUAUAAUAGGAUUUUAUAAUUGCCAAGAAUUAAAACCUGUAAAACCGCAGAAAUAUUCGACAAUUUUAUUUUGGUUUUCAACCUUUUUUUAUAGAAAAAGUCAAAACACGUUAUACAGUAGUUUUUUUUGUUUAAGUUAUACAUAUUUUAUAAUUCACAUGGCAUGCAUGUUUGACUUCAUAUAAAUACAAAAGAAGAUGAUGGAGUAAGAAUUUGAAGGUAGAGAAAGAAAAAAAAAUAGCGAAAGAGAAAGAAAAAGAUGUUGAUAAAGAGAAUAAAGCUAUGCAUAGAAAUUAUGAUGAAAGCAAAGGAGUUCUUUGUGGUUCUGGCUAACGCAAUCACAAUCUUCUUAAGGCAAUCUUCUCCACCUCCUCCGGCUCUCCUCCGCCAUGGCCUCUACUCUUACUCCGCCUUCCCUUAUCAAUGAUAAGUUAUCAUCCGUCUAACCGUCUUUCCUAAGUUUGUAAUCUUUUGUUUUAAUGCUUUGUAAUAUUCAUGUAUCUUCUUGUUCUUUAUUUUGUAAUAAAUUAGGGAGAGUCCCGUGAAUGGCGUGGGGUUUUUCAUGUGUCUUUUACAAUUGCUAGAACGUUAAUUCUAAAUUUGACAAUGCUUUAAUUGUGAGGGAUACAAUGAUCUAACGAUCGGCUUCGUUCCUGAAUCUAAGACAAGAAGUUAUCAUUCUUUUAUUUUUGUGUUCUUAUGAGAGCAAUAACAUAUUCUUUUAGUUAAGAUGUA